rnacentral:rRNA from 1 species
UUGGAGGGCAAGUCUGGUGCCAGCAGCCGCGGUAAUUCCAGCUCCAAUAGCGUAUAUUAAAGUUGUUGCAGUUAAAAAGCUCGUAGUUGAAUUUCGGGAUCAGAGUGUCGGUCGUGCCUUGGUACGCACUGGUAUUAUUGGUUCCUACCUUCUGAAGAACCGCGAUGUCAUUAAUUUGGUGUCGUGGGGAAUCAGGACUGUUACUUUGAAAAAAUUAGAGUGUUUAAAGCAGGCUUACGCUUGAAUACAUUAGCAUGGAAUAAUGAAAUAGGACGUUUGAUUCUAUUUUGUUGGUUUCUAGGAUUGACGUAAUGAUUAAUAGGGAUAGUUGGGGGCAUUAGUAUUCAAUUGUCAGAGGAGAAAUUCUUGGAUUUAUUGAAGACUAACUACUGCGAAAGCAUUUGCCAAGGAUGUUUUCAUUAAUCAAGAACGAAAGUUAGGGGAUCGAAGACGAUCAGAUACCGUCGUAGUCUUAACCAUAAACUAUGCCGACUAGGAAUCAGACGAUGUUAAUUUUUUAAUGACUCGUUUGGUACCUUACGGGAAACCAAAGUGUUUGGGUUC